AACGAACGCUGGCGGCAGGCUUAACACAUGCAAGUCGAACGCCCCGCAAGGGGAGUGGCAGACGGGUGAGUAACGCGUGGGAACAUACCCUUUCCUGCGGAAUAGCUCUGGGAAACUGGAAUUAAUACCGCAUACGCCCUACGGGGGAAAGAUUUAUCGGGGAAGGAUUGGCCCGCGUUGGAUUAGCUAGUUGGUGGGGUAAAGGCCUACCAAGGCGACGAUCCAUAGCUGGUCUGAGAGGAUGAUCAGCCACAUUGGGACUGAGACACGGCCCAAACUCCUACGGGAGGCAGCAGUGGGGAAUAUUGGACAAUGGGCGCAAGCCUUAUCCAGCCAUGCCGCGUAAGUGAUGAAGGCCUUAGGGUUGUAAAGCUCUUUCACCGAUGAAGAUAAUGACGGUAGUCGGAGAAGAAGCCCCGGCUAACUUCGUGCCAGCCGCCGCCGUAAAAC
rnacentral:rRNA from 1 species